rnacentral:lncRNA from 1 species
GUGUGUGUGUGUGUUACAUGGGCCCCGACGGUUAUUGCGGCGGCCUUUCUUCACGGCGGGUUACCUUCCUCACCCCCCUCACCCAGGGCCGAGCCGACCCAGGAGUUAGGCAGCUCGAUGGCCUGUAAAGGGUGCAUGCCUGUAACCGCGUGUUCCGGGCCCAGACGGCAUUCCGAACGAGCUGCUCCGCAUCUUGCCUCACGGCAUGAAACGAGCCCUACACAACACACUGAAGAUCAUGUACGUCAAGUCCACAAUCCCGGAGUCCUGGGCCACUUCGGACACGGUCCUGCUCCCAAAACCUGGGGACGCUCUCGACAUCAAGAACAAGAGGCCCAUUGCUCUAGCCAACACUUGCUAUAAACUGUACACCUCUAUGCUCACCCUGGGCAUCGGCGAACUGGCAGGCCCACUCCAGCUGUUCAGCGAACCACAGGAGGGCUUCCGGGCCUAUUGCAACACGGAACGGCAGAUACUGAACCUUGUGCAUGUAUUGGAGGACGCUGCCCUGUAUGGGAAAGACGUAUACGCAGUAUAUGUUGACUACAGCUCUGCGUUUAACACAAUCGAUCAGGACAGGCUACUCCAGAUUAUGUUCGAUCUGGGCCUGCCCGACGACCUGAUACGCGCAGUCCGCAACCUAUACGCGCACGCCACCACCCGCAUUCGUACUGAACAUGGAUGCACAUCCGCCAUCCCAAUAGAACGUGGCACGGUGCAAGGCGACACCCUGUCACCUGUACUGUUUAUCUUGUUCAUGGAACCGCUUGUGCGGUGGCUCCACGCAGGUGGGCGGGGCUACCGCUAUGGAUGCCUCAGCCCGGAAGACAAUGCACGGUACCACUGCAGCGCCGCCGCGUACGCUGACGACUUGGCGACCCUGACCACAACGCUGGAAGACCUGCAGAUCCAAUGCGACAAAAUCUCGGACUACGCAGACUGGGCAAGCCUGCGAGUCAAUCACACCAAGUGCGCAACUACCGCCAUCUGGCACAACAAGUCCCGGUCCACCCCGACCCUUGACGGACCCACCGGCCAAGCCACGCUGAACGCGAUGCACCGUGAACUGACUAACAAGCUACGAAUUGGCAACACCACUGUACCGUACUACCCGCCCACAAAACCCUACAAAUACCUGGGGGUGCAACUCACCUUCUCACUAGACUGGAAGGCGCAAGUCUCCCACGUCACGGAAA